GGGCCCGUAGCUCAAUGGCGGAGCAGGGGACUCAUAAUCCCUUGGUUGUAGGUUCGAAUCCUACCGGGCCCACCA
rnacentral:tRNA from 1 species